CAGCUGAGCCGAGAGAGGGCAGGGGCGCCGCCACCAGCACCACCGCCUCCUAAGUUCCCCCUGGUGGAUGCACGGCUCGGUCGGUCGCUCCGCUCCUCCUCCCCCCUCCCGGCGCAGAGGGGCCCGAAGAGGCCGGAGGAGCGGGCUCAGGACGGGAUUUCUGAGGAAGGGGAGAGGACGGGCGCCCCACCCGCUCGGAGGGUGGGGGGCUCGGUGAACGAUGAAGGGCCGGCGGCGGCGGCGCCGGGAGUCCUGCAAGUUUGCGCUGCUCUUGGUGCUGUACACGCUGGUGCUGCUGCUCAUCCCCUCCGUGCUGGACGGCGGCCGCGACGGCGACAAGGGCGCCGGGCACUGCCCGGGCGUGCAGCGCAGCCUGGGAGUCUGGAGCUUGGAGGCGGCGGCGGCGGGCGAGCGCGAGCAGGGCGGGGAGGCGCGGCCGGCCGCGGAGGGGGACGCGGGCCAGCCCCCCCGGCCCCCGGGCAACCUCAGCGGCGCCGUCGGGGAGGCGGUGUCUCGCGAGAAGCAGCACAUCUAUGUGCAUGCCACCUGGCGCACCGGCUCGUCGUUCCUGGGCGAGCUCUUUAACCAGCACCCGGACGUUUUCUACUUGUACGAGCCCAUGUGGCAUCUAUGGCAGGCGCUGUAUCCGGGCGACGCCGAGAGCCUGCAGGGCGCGCUGCGCGACAUGCUGCGCUCGCUCUUCCGCUGCGACUUCUCGGUGCUGCGGCUGUACGCGCCGCCGGGGGACCCCGCCGCGCGCGCCCCGGACGCAGCCAAUCUCACCACGGCCGCCCUCUUUCGCUGGCGGACCAACAAGGUCAUCUGCUCGCCGCCGCUGUGCCCCGGCGCGCCCCGUGCCCGCGCUGAGGUCGGCCUCGUCGAGGAUGCCGCCUGCGAGCGCAGCUGCCCGCCCGUGGCUCUACGCGCCCUGGAGGCCGAGUGCCGCAAGUACCCGGUGGUGGUCAUCAAGGACGUGCGCCUCCUCGACCUGGGCGUGCUGGUGCCCCUGCUGCGGGACCCCGGCCUCAACCUGAAGGUGGUGCAACUUUUCCGCGACCCGCGGGCCGUGCACAACUCGCGCCUCAAGUCCAGGCAGGGGCUGCUGCGCGAGAGCAUCCAGGUGCUGCGCACCCGCCAGCGGGGCGACCGCUUCCACCGCGUGCUACUGGCGCACGGCGUGGGCGCUCGGCCCGGGGGCCAGGCCCGCGCCCUGCCCGCCGCACCGCGCGCCGACUUCUUCCUGACCGGCGCGCUCGAGGUGAUCUGCGAAGCGUGGCUGCGCGACCUGCUGUUCGCGCGCGGCGCGCCCGCCUGGCUGCGGCGCCGCUACCUGAGGCUGCGCUACGAGGACCUGGUGCGGCAGCCGCGCGCCCAGCUGCGCCGCCUGCUGCGCUUCUCCGGGCUGCGCGCGCUCGCCGCGCUCGACGCCUUCGCGCUCAACAUGACGCGGGGCGCGGCCUACGGCGCCGACCGACCCUUCCACCUGUCGGCGCGCGACGCCCGCGAGGCCGUGCACGCCUGGCGCGAGCGCCUGAGCCGAGAGCAGGUGCGCCAGGUGGAGGCGGCCUGCGCGCCAGCCAUGCGCCUGCUGGCCUACCCUCGCAGCGGAGAGGAGGGCGAGCUGGAGCCGCCCGUGGAGGAGGAGAAGCCGCUUGAGACCGAGGCCGACGGCGCCACGUAACCCCUGCCCGCCCCGCCCCCCCCAACGCGCGUCCCCGGGACGGAUCCGGCGCGUCUCAGACGGUGAAGGAGCGCCCAUACCUUGGGUUGUGGUGACCAGGAUGCCUGGAUGAAAUCGCCUUCUUAGCCCUCCUGCAGCCCCCGUGUAUUUGGCAAGCGGCAUUCCUGUGAUCCUUUUGAAGGACUGGAUACACUUUGAAACAAAAACGAUCACCUUUUCAUGAAGCCACACCGAUGCACGCCGGCGGCUUUAGCAAGCUCCUUGUCAGGAUGGCCUUCUGGUGCUGACGCCGGGGGUCGUACCUGUGGACUGGAGCUUCCGCUAUUUCAGGACACUCUCACUGGGGGAAUGUGGCUGAUUUUCAAUAAGGUUUAACCCUUGCUCCAUUUUUCUCUGUGCUCCUGAGAGCCCUCUUCGUAGUCUGGGGUGGGGGCGGGGGUGGGGGGCAGAAGUGCCCAUUUGCAGUUGUCGAGACAGGAUUCAGAGGGUUUUCGAAGAGGUUUUUUUUUAGCCUCGGCAGAGAUUUUCUUCCCAUGAAUACAAAUGUAAUAUAAAUAGUCCGCGCGAUGCUUUUAAAAAACAUUUAUAAGAACCUGGCUUAAAAUUCCUCAGUCUGCCUUUUCUCAGGCUGCCCUCCGCCUGAACAGCCGAGAGAAGAAUAGAAACUAAAAAAGCUAAGCUGGUCUCGCUUUUGUGGCCCUGCUGGCCCAGUUGAACAAGGUGACUUAGAAAUGAACCCCUCUGUGCCUCUCUGCCAGGUCUCCUGGCUCCUCAGCCUCUUACCCCGAAGUGGAGCUGAAGGAAUCUGCUCUGUUGAAAGAGACAUUUCUGCCUCCGUGCGGUAUGGGAUCAGCACAGUAAGGACUAAGAAACAGCCCUGGCCCAGGUUCAAGAGCACGGGGAAGUGGAGAACCGUUUGGGAGCUGAACAGGAAGCAGUCUCAGUUGGAGAAAAGUCGCAGAGCUCAGUGAUGCCUUCAUGAGAAUUGGAGCCCUUCAGCUUUGCUCCCCGCCCCCCCUCCCCCCCACCCCCAGCCUGCAGGCACCACGCCAGCGUCCGUCCGGGUGUGACAUCUGCAGCUGGCCUCGGUCACAUUAAAGACCGUCGUGCGGGAUGCCGAGCAGAAACUGGGGCAUCAGCCGACAGUGGAUAGUUUUCAGUUAGGGGGUUAAGAGGCGGUAAGGGACGACCACCACGUUUGACCUCGAGGACCACCGUGUUCAGGGUGAGCAGACUCCCCUCCCCUGAAAUCAACGCGAGUGGCAAGGAGCUUUGCCGUAGAGCGACAUUCUGGAAACAGCCACUGAGGCAGACGGGGUUUUGCGCGUGGAAUGGAAGCCCUUUCUGUUAAGCCUUUCAGGCAGGUGUUCAGAGGAGCCCCAGAAGGCACAGGGCGCGCCGUGAGGACGCAGGGCAGUCCCCGGGCCCUGCCAGCAAGAGGCCUCAAAUCUGGCCUGACAUGCACAAUGUCUAGAGGGCCAGUUGGGAGAGGUGAAUGUUGUGUGAUGGACGUCCCUUGGUCAUGGCAACCAGCAGGCUGGAAGCAGAGAAACCAGCCAUAACAGAAAGUCAGAAAUAGAACAACGACAGAAUCAUUUGUGAGGUAUGGGGAGCAGGUAGGGGCUCGAGACUGUGCGUUCUUUUGUAGAGAUGACAAACUGAGGGACGGUAGGAGCAGCCCCCACAUGAACUUGGGGGGCUAACUGAAGCAGUUCUUAGAGAACAUACAGCUCAGGGGAGCAGUAGGGAAAAAGGCUCCAGAGCUUUUGAGGUCACUCUCCCCCCAUGACUGAGACCAGGCUUGACGGGAGAGGGCUCGUCACGGCUGCAGAGAGAUUAUGGGAACAGUAAGCCAAAAAGACUAAAACCAAGAUAAUGUUUUUAAAAAUAGGACUUCCGAGACUCUUAACUCUGGGAAACAAACUGAGGGCUGCUGGGUGGGUGGGGAGGUGGGUGGGGGGCUGGGGUAACGGGGGGAUGGGCACGGAGGAGGGCACGGGUUGGGGUGAGCACUGGGUGUGAUACGCAGCUGAUAGUUUAGUGAACACUACACCUGAAACUAGUGAUGUACUAUCAGUUGGCUAAUUGAAUUUAAAUUAAAAAACCAAAACAGACAAAAAUAGGACUCCUUUCAUACAGCCCAGAGCUGGCAUAUGUUGAAUAUUCGGAUUUUAAGAGCAAUAAAAGUAGAUGCUGUUUCUUGCUCUAAUAAAGGGUAUCACCAACAGGGAUGUAAUAAAGGAAAAUAAUACAUUUUUCAGGUUCUGCAAACAACUGUUGCCUUUCUGUGCACUCUGCCCCCCUCCCCCCGCCUCCCCCAGCUAGGGAUGGCAAGGGGGGGACUGUUUUGCAAAGAAGAGAGACGGUUGGCUGAAAAGAAACACACACAAACACACCCUGCCAAAGAACAACAGAAUUCCUAGCAUUAUUGAAUGCCUUUUAAAUUUAUUUUUGUUCUAUUUUUAUUUCUCAGCAAAGGGAAAGUGAAAUAGUUUCGAGCUCCAGAGAAAUUCAUGCCCUGGUCCUAAAUAUGGCAAUCUCUGGCGGUCCUGCGGGCCCGGGAGAGGACUGGUUUACCCGCUCCGACCUCCCGUGCCAAAAUGAACCUGCUCUCAGCUGCUGUGCCAUUUGCUUUUUAAAGAUGUAUUUAUUUAUUUGGGAGAGCGAGAAUGAGCGAAUGAGCCGGGGUGGGGGGUGCAGAGAGAGAGAGGGAGAGAAUCUCGAGCAGACUUCCCAGCUGAGUGCAGAGACCCACCCCAGGGACCCCCUCCACUCCCCCAACCUUCAUCCACUCCAUUAACCAAUAGCCCCUGUGGGGGCCAGAGGGCUGCCUGAAUGACAGAUCCAAGCUCCGGCACUUCCUAGCCCCGAGCCCCCACUAACCGGGGCUGCCCCCACUUGGUAGAUGACAAACAUCUGCAGGUGGGCGAGCAAAUGCAUAUUAUAAGAUACUGACUCAGUUCCUUUAUUUGAGUCAGGAACGACUUUACUCACAAAAGCAAUUAUGUAUGCCAAUUAAAAUUAUACCUCGGAGCAGCUCAAUGAAAGGAAAAAUCAAAAGCCAACUAAGCAGACUCAGCUGUUCCCAAGUUUCAUAAAUACUGUUUUGGAGCAUAUUCAUUUUGUUCUCGAGUGAGCUCAGAAACUUGGGAUGUUUUUCGCUGGGGGUGGGCAUGAUCAAACUGGAAGCAUGUUAUUAUUUUAUCCUGUCCUAUUGAGGAAAUAAAUGGCCAUUUCAUUUUGGCCCUGGCUGACUCUGGGGCUUGACCAAUGAAUGACUCGCAUGGGUUGAGGUUUUCCUUGGAUUUCUAGAGCAGAGAAGUGAGUCCUUUUCUCUCCCUGUGAGUGGCGAGGGGGUGGAGGGCAGCUCAGCUCCACCUGGGCUGCCCACGUCCCAGCAAGUGGCUUCUCCCCUAGUUUCUCCCCCUGCUCCCCAGGCAAGAGUUCUGUUUGUGGGUUUUUUUCUUUAACUCCGUUUUCACCUGAAGUGAGAGUUGUUUUAAGUAGUAAGUAUGACUAGUGCAAAUGUACUGGUAACACCCCCCCCCACACUUAAUUUUUCACACGGAAAGUCUGGAAAUAAUUUAUAACAUUUAUGCUAUUUAAGUACAUUUCUAGGCAAUUUGGGGGGUGCGGUUGCAUGAGCUAACUAAAUGUUUCCUAUGACAUUUCGCUUGAGCGUCACAGUGAGGGAAAGCUCGCACUUUGACAUUUCUGGGUUUUCAAGUAGUAUUUUCACAUUAUCCCCAAGCAGCUCCCUUAAAAAAGAAAAAAAAAAAAACAACCACCCAACUUGAUGGCCCCAUUGUCGUAAACACUGUCAGUCAUUUCCGUUUUCCUUAGCACCGCAUUUCACCGAUUUGAGGUGAAAACAGGAAGGUUAAGAAAGCUUCGCGGGGGUUAACAGAUGAUCUUGGGCAGGAACCUCAUCCCCAGAGGGUGGGGCCGGGGGAGGAUGUUGGGAGAAGCCCCCGCGAGGAGACGUGGCCGCCGAAGAGGAGGCUAACGCCCGUGCUCGGCCCACUUGUCCUGGACUGGGUCCAGGAGGAAGGCCCUUACAAUGGGCCGGAGAGUAAUUCGCCCGUGGUCAGCCAGCAUGCAGCGGGGCACUCAGCAUGUCGCCCCAGCACGGGGGAGGCAGAGAUGGGGACUCGGCUUGGGGACCACCCGCUGUGCAGCUCUGCGGAGCAGGAAUGGCACCAGAUAUUAAAUGACGACCGACACAUUGGUUGAAAGGAAGUUUCCAGUAAGGAAGUGACAGUACGAUGCGGAUCAUUAGAGCCGUACAGUAGGAAACGCUCGCGUCCCCAGCCUGCACCUGCCUCUGCUGGGCCUGUUCCAACGUGGUGUUCUCAGAAUGCAGAGGAGACGCGAUCGGGUACCGUGUCCCAGCAGCAGCGGGUGCCUGGACAAAUCAUCAGUGUGACUGAGGGCCAAGUGCAGUCCCGUGUACCUUGAUUACAUGACCUAAUAUUAAAUAAGAGGUCUGAGUGCCACUAGUUUAAACCGGACUCAUUCAGCUCUUUUUCAAAGAGCUCCCCCUACACCUGCCCCUAAACCAAUUUUUAAGAAGUGGUUUCUCUCCCUGGGGUGGGAGAGCCCUAACGAGCUGACACGAAUUUUCACUUGCAAGUUCUUCUGUCUGGUGUUUUUGUAAUUAUACUAUUAAAGGACUCCGGAGUCAGUGUUAAUGACAAGAUUCGUUUUGUUUUGCUAGGAUGAUUUUUUGAUGAAGUUCAGUUGCGUGGUUCGGGGAAAAGCCAGUCUGCCUACAAAGGAAUUCAUGAAGACGAUCAAGGAAACUGUAUUGAGUUCAAGAACCUUAGCAACUAUCCAACACUCAAAGUCUGUUCACCACUGUUGUAGGCCGGAAGUUACCACACAGACCAGAUUUAAAGUGUUUCUCUUAAUCCCAAGGCACAUUUAAAUAAUCUCAGAAGUCUGCUACUGUGAUUUUUAGACCCUGUUUUGAAACUCAAGUUUUUCAAGCACCUAAAGC